GUGAAUCAUCGAAUCUUUGAACGCAUAUUGCACUCUCUGGUAUUCCGGAGAGUAUGCCUAUUUGAGGGUCAUUUGAAAUAAUAUAAAUUCCAAGAUUUCUCGGAAUUUAAAAUGGGUUGUCCAUUUUUUGUGUUGGCUUAAAAUCAAAGAAAACCUCAUUUUCUUGGGUUGCUUGUUCCUUUAGGUUCCCUCUG
rnacentral:misc_RNA from 1 species